rfam:Oryzias latipes DNA, chromosome14, strain: Hd-rR.
CCAAAGGCCCUUUUAAGGGCCACCCACAUCUUUUCCUGAUGAGCU